CAUAUGUUAAUAUCACCUCAGAGCACUAUUAAUUCCCAAGAAGCAUGUAUGUUGAUGAUGUAAUCAAAGAUGAAUGGUGACGCGAUGAAGACGAUGGUGAAUCAUGGAUGGCAACGCGACGAUUUGAUGAAGACGAACGGUGGCGCGACGAUUUGAUGAAGAAGAACGACGACGGGAUGAAUUGAAUAUUGAGGAUGAUGAUGAGCUGUUGAUGAUGAUGCUUGGGGAUACUUGAAUAUUGACAAGGAUGAUGACAAAUUGACGAAUGAAUUUAGGCUUUGUGGCGUGAAGAUUGAAGAAGGUGAGAGAAGAGGAGAAAUGGGGCUAUUGCGGCUGCUAGGGGUGGGCAAAAUCGGGUUCGGGUCAACCCGAUCGGGUUUCGGGUUGUUCGGGUUAGACAAGGAACAAUCCGAACAUAACCCGAAUUAAUGACCCGACCCG
rnacentral:lncRNA from 1 species